GAACACCGAAUGCGACUGCCCGGAGUUCUCGCGCGACACGGCGCCACUCACUGCGAACUCUGCUAUUCCGGCAGGAUGGUGUGCAUACUGCGGGCACUCGCCUGCCACUCACGGCCGCUUGGAAUACCUGGACAAUAGAUGAAGAAGGACAUUCUGAAAGCGGAAUAGAUGCACCCCGCGUGAAGACACUUUUAAAAGCAUCCUUUAUCAUGAGGAGCACGUCACCAGUGGCGGUGUUACCGGCUUAUCUCCUAAACGAAGAACUGCUUGCCUUUGAAAGUGAACUGAUAUUUUUAAGCACUAUCGAGGAGAAUGUCAAAAGCCUCAGCAAAAUUCUGCCUGCAGUGGCGACAGUGUCAUCCUUAGCGGACCGAUCGUACACAGUGGUGGAUGCGUACCUGAGGCCAAGGCUCGCAAAAUGGCCCUAAUUUCAGAGGUUUCAACCGCAGACACUAUUGGCCCGUGCAUUGUGUGGGGCGACGUGAAGGAGCUUGUAUGCGGCAAAGAGCCCAGCGAAACCCGGAAGCUACAGCCGAACACGUCGCUAGAAAAAGCACUGGUGCUUUGUUUGUGUGUGUACUACGACAAGGACCUUGCGUAUCCGGCUGCUUUUGGCCAGUUGCUUGGCUUCGUUCAAGCAGCCGUUAAACGUGCCGGCAUCGACGAAAUUCCAUGGGCGCAGAAAAGGCUACGGUAUUUGUUCACGAAACUACACUUCGUUUGAGUUAAGUACACAUCAAAGUUUAUGUGCUGCUUAAAGAGACAUUAAAAAUUCAUCUAGCGCCUA